rnacentral:miRNA from 1 species
UUCGGACUGGUGUUAGAGACG